AGAAAAAUUGUGCAGGUUUCUCCUCCCAUUGGCGACUUCGCACGAUGGCAAUGUUGAGCAGUGUAGGGUUGAUCAUGAUCAUGUGACAGACAGCUUUGGGAGAGAACAGCUCUGAACACAGAAACAUCAGGCGCAACUAAAAGGAGUUUCCACAGCGUGAGAGACAGAGCCUACAAGUGAACAUUGCCCUGCUUUAGAACCGUUAUUCAAGUGCUCUGAACGACGUCGACGGUCAGCGGAAAGUUCUGGGAAGAAGCUGUUUUUAACAGCCUGGAUAAAGAAAGGUUUGGUGGCGAUAAAAAAACAAACAUUAUCUGUUGAAGAGGAGAGACGCACAAAUCCCAGCGGGCAUGCGGGAGUUUUUGGAGUUAUUUGACGGCAAACAUUCUGUAAACAAAUAAGAACUUCGCGAAGAUUCUUUUCGCCGAUUGCGUCAUCAGUUCGUUUUUUUUAAAAAAAACUUAUGAUUGAGGGUGAUACAAAGUUUCAAGAUUGCGUUUGAAAAGUAGCGAAAUCGGGGCAGGAGUUUGGAAUAAAGCUGGGAAAACAAAUCAAAGCCCUCCGUUUGCUAAUUUUGUAGGGGGCUGUCGUGUUUUCCCGAAGUUUAACGCUGCUUUUUGAGUUUUUCUGGGGGUGAUAUUUUAAACAUGGUUGGGGAAAUGGAAACGAAGGAGAAGCCUAAGCCGACUCCUGAUUAUCUGAUGCAGCUCAUGAACGACAAGAAACUGAUGAGCAGCCUGCCAAACUUCUGUGGUAUCUUCAACCAUCUCGAGCGACUGUUAGAUGAAGAAAUUGGACGGGUACGGAAGGACAUGUACAAUGACACGCUGAACGGCAGCACAGAUAAAAGGACUUCCGAGCUCCCGGAUGCUGUGGGGCCCAUUGCACAACUCCAAGAGAAACUCUAUGUGCCUGUCAAAGAAUACCCAGACUUCAAUUUUGUGGGAAGAAUCCUGGGGCCCCGGGGCCUGACAGCCAAGCAACUAGAGGCAGAGACGGGCUGCAAAAUUAUGGUGCGAGGCAAAGGCUCCAUGAGAGACAAGAAGAAGGAAGAGCAAAACAGAGGAAAGCCCAACUGGGAACACCUGAACGAAGACCUGCACGUCCUCAUCACUGUGGAAGACUCUCAGAACCGUGCUGAGAUCAAACUCAAGAGAGCCGUCGAAGAGGUCAAGAAACUGCUAGUCCCUGCGGCUGAAGGUGAAGACAGCUUGAAAAAGAUGCAGCUGAUGGAGCUGGCCAUUCUCAACGGCACUUACAGAGACGCCAAUGUCAAGUCACCAGCCUUAGCCUUCUCCCUGGCAGCCACAGCACAAGCUCCCCGCAUUAUCACCGGCCCCUCCCCGGUGAUGCCCACUGCGGCACUGCGCACCCCUGCUCCCACCGCACCCACCCUCAUGCCCCUCAUCCGACAGAUCCAGACCUCUGCCAUCAUGCCCACAGGCACGCCCCAUCCAGCCGCGACUCUCGUACCCCAGACCCCUGAGUCAGGCAUUAUCUAUGCACCCUACGAGUACCCAUACACCCUUGCACCUGCGACAUCCAUUCUUGAAUAUCCUAUUGACUCAAGUGGUGUUUUAGGUAUGGCUUUCCCGACAAAAGGCUAGUAAUGCUCAGGGGUUUAACACAGUCUUCAGCCCAUACGAGUGUUAAAAACGCUUUGCUUAACAGCUGCCUUGGAACAAAAAAAGACAAAAGAGCAAACGAAGAAACUGAUUUUUAUAAGAAACAAAAGACUAAAGAUCAUUACUACUCAUGUUUACACUGGUCUUAACUGUUUUGUUGACUUAUUCAUAGAUUAAAAUGGAUAUUUUCAGAUAAAUACUGAUAAUUAAGCCUUAUUACAUUCCUUUGUUUGAAACGUAAUCUAUAUUUGUUUAGCUUGUAAUUUUUGUAUUACUUAUUCUCCUGCAACUGUAUCUUAGAUAUUUAGAGAGUGAUCAGUAUUAUGGCUAAUAUAUCAUGCUUGUGAAAAUCUUUCUCCAUGAAAUAGCCUGUAGUGAAUUCAUAUUAUCUGAAGCUUGUGUGUUAAGAAAAAUACAAAGGCUCUAUAGUCAUUGUAUAAAUUAGUCAAGAGGGUCAAAAAAGUGUUUUUAUGGAAAUGCAACAGUUUUACUGGGAAACUGAGUAAGGGCAACAACUUACAUUGUGAUUUCACUAUAACAGAGCCCUGGAGAAAAGGUCACUUGUGCCUUGCAGUUUGGUCUUACAAGCCUUGUUUGUGAAACAAUGUGUUAAAUGUAGUUUUAAUGUAUUAUGAUGAAUAAUCUGUUAAUUCUUGUUUUGUUGGCAAUGUUGCGCUCUGAGCAGGUGCAGUGACUACUAAAGUACGAAGGCAGGAUAUGCGCGUCCAUCCUUACCAAAGGGUAGUGACCGCAGAACGAGCCGCCACCGGCAACUAACCAAUGACCCUCUGAACUCUUCACCCAAUGAUGACCUGACCAUUGCCUGCCUGCUGACCAGUUCUCUGGCUCUCGUCCUUCGCUUCUAUGUUUUGGCGGCCUGCUGGUGAGCCCAGAAGCAGCUUUAAUUCGCUUAACACAGCCGAGAAGCCAUGAUGGCCCACCCGCAGAACAGAAUCGCUCCCCUUCUCAAAACGAGGACCUCCUUGGUCAGGUGACCUGGGCUUCCCAGCCUGCACUGAAGUGUCAUAAAGCAAUAACGCUGUCUGGGCGACACCCUGUUGUUAGCCUUUCACAUGCACGCACUAAAUAAUCACACAUCUUUAUUGGUUUCUAAAAAUUAAGCAUAAUAUUCUAUAUAACUCUGUGCACUGCAGUUCUCAUGCCAUCCUGAAGAGUUUGAAAAAAAACCCAGCAGUUUAUUUUUAAACUGAUUUAUAGGUCCAAAUGUCCGUAAGGGAUGUAAAAGCCAUGCUUGCCUACCAGCGUUUUUCUUCAGAGAGCUGUCGAAAAAGCAUCCAGACACAUGAGCAAGUGUACAAAUACUGAACGUCAAUUAAUAUCUUUUUCAUACAAGGGUGCUGCACACAAAAAGAAUAUAUAUAUUUUUCAAAGGCGAUCCUUUUUGUAUUCAAAAACAAAGCAGUAUUGUCAAAAUGUGAUGAACAAACGACGUUUAUUUCCUUAUGACAAAUUUUAGAGACCAAAACAGUGUCUUUUUUGAUAAUAAUAAUAACAAAGUGCCUUAUUUUACACAAUAUCAUCAAUUACGAACAAGUAUGAAUGUCCAUCGAUGUGUUAUAUGCCAACAUAUCAGGUAUUUCUGUUCAAUUCCUCUUUAUUCAUCAAAACGAGGUGUACUGAACAAUGUCACAGGCGUUUUAUGUGCAUUUUAUAUUUUUCUUUACAAAUAACAAUUGAGUUUUACCCUGUCACACUACAUUAGGUGUUAAUUGAGCUUUUGAUGCUCACAAUAUGUUUGUUUUUGAUAAUAUGUGUGUAUGAGCUCUCUACCAUCACUACAUCUGUUACACGACAAUGAAGCCCCUUCGAUAUGUUACUAGUCACUAUUUCCGUAUUUUCAGGGUGAAUAUUAUUAGGGUUUGGAGUUAAUUAGUACAGAAGGUGUACUAGAGAAGCAUGUUUGACAUGUCACCAUUCUCCUUGCCUUCCUAUGCAAACAAUUUUCAGUUUUAAAAUAAAUUUCCUUCAGUUGGUCUUCCAGUUAAAUUUCAAACCAUUUCAGUGCUAAAGAACAAAAAAAAAGAACUAAAAGCGUAUUAACAAAUUAUAGUUGCAUUUUGUUAUUUGGUUAUCAUAACUGGAUUUUGAGAAGAUGCAUCUCCUUUUCUAAUAAUGUUGGUUGUAUUUAUGCAGAGCAAAUGCAAUACUUUUUAGAUGUUUGAGGUUGUGAUGCAGUUGCAUGUCAAUUUUUUUUAUUAACCUGGAAAUUGCUAAAGAAAAAAUCCUGCAGUUGAAGUCAAAAGUUUACACACACCUUGCAGAAUCUGCAAAAUGUUAAUUAUUUUACCAAAUCGUACAAGGGAUCGUACAAAAUGCAUGCUAUUUUUUUAUUUAGUACUGACCUGAAUAAGAAAUUUCACAUAAAAGACGUUUACAUAUAGUCUACAAGAGAAAAUAAUAGUUGAAUUUAUAAAAAUUACCCUGUUCAAAAGUUGACAUAGACUUUUAGUGAUAGUUGUUCUUGAGUCCCUUGUUUGUCCUGAACAGUUAAACUGCCUGCUGUUCUUCAGAAAAAUCCUUCAGGUUCCACAAAUGCUUUGGUUUUUCAGCAUUUUUGUGAAUUUGAACCCUUUCCAAUAAUGCCUGUAUGGUUGGGGUUUCAACUUUUGACACUGAGGACAACUGAGGGACUCAUAUGCAACUAUUACAACAACUAUUACAAAAGGUUGAAAUGCUCACUGAUGCUUCAGAAGGAAAAAACAUGCAUUAAGAGCUGGGGGUGAAAACUUUUGGAAUUUUUUUGAAGAUAAGGGUAAAUUUAACUUAUUUUGUCUUCUGGGAAGCAUGUAUCUUCUGUAGAUUCUGAAGGGAAGUACUGCAUGAAAAAAUAUGAUUUAUAGGCAAAAUAAGAAAAAUGUUCACAUCCUCAUUCUGUUCAAAAGUUUACACCCCUGGCUCUUAAUUCAUUGUUUUUUUCCUGAAACAUCAGUGUGAGCAUUUGACCCUUCUGUAAUUGUUGCAUAUGAGUCCCUCAGUUGUCCUCAGUGCGCAAAAAUCAAAAAUACACACUUUUGUGGGUGUUUUAACUGUUCAGGACAAACAAGGGACUAAUGAACAGUGUGAAUCAUUCAGGUAACAACACAGUGUUAAGAAUCAAGUGUAUGUAAACUUUUGAACGGGGUAAUUUGUAUAAAUUCAACUAUUAUUUUCUCUUGUGGAUUAUAUUUAAACAUCUUUUAUGUGAAAUAUCUUAUUCACACCAGUACUGAAUAAAAAACAGCAUGCAUUUUGUAUGACCCCUUUUAUUUUGGUAAAAUAAUUAACAUUUUGUAAAUUCUACAAAGUGUAUGUAUUUGACUUCAAAUGUACAUAUAAUGGAUGGAAAUUGUUUUUAAAAGUUCUCUCACCCUGUCAGAUCGACUAGGAACUGGAGUUAUUUGUUAAUGUGUGUGUUUUUUUUGGUUUAGUGUUUGCUUUCCAUGCAGUAUUAUUAUAGACUGUGUCAAUAUGUGUGUGAGCAUGUUUUAUGGGUGAUUGUGUGAGUGAGUGUGAGUGUUUAUGUAUUGUAUAUGCCAAUGAACUGCAACUCUACAUUCAAGCUUAUUUUUGUUGUCAUUUUUUUUUUUUUUUUUUGUCUUUUUUGCGAACCCAAGCAGCUCCCUGCAUUGGAAAAUAUACAGUCCUAUUUAUAACCAUUGUAACAUUUUAUAAUGUAUUUUUCUAUCAUAUUUUGUAUGUGAGAAAUAACAUUAAAUCACAUUUCCAGAUAUGAACAGUAUGCCUUAUUACAAAAGAAAAAAAUUGAUAUGAGAGACAUAUUUUCCCAUGAUGAACAAUAUGAUUUGGUUCCAGCCUCACUCUGAACAAGUGGUUUUUUAUUUGCUGGGGUGUUUGGUUUGUCAUUGUUGCUUUGCCUCUGUGCCUUCUUAUGUAAAUUGUAAGCUAUUAACCAUUUCUAGUUAUAUAAUUUGAUUAAUCGUUUCUCGCCGAUUGUACUAACAUUUGAUGAUUUCUAUUCAUUAACCCCGUCAAUAAUUUCUUUUGUCUGCUUUGAAAUCUCUAGAACAGGAUUUGUGUGAAAUUAAGCAAAAGAGUGUUUUACUGACUGAUAUAUGCUGGACUAAACUCUGUACUGAGAAGCAAUAGCGAAAUAUUAAAAUCUUAGUUUUAAAAAAAGAAA